rnacentral:rRNA from 1 species
AUUGAACGCUGGCGGCAGGCCUAACACAUGCAAGUCGAGCGGAUGAAGGGGGCUUGCUCCUGGAUUCAGCGGCGGACGGGUGAGUAAUGCCUAGGAAUCUGCCUGGUAGUGGGGGAUAACGUCCGGAAACGGGCGCUAAUACCGCAUACGUCCUGAGGGAGAAAGUGGGGGAUCUUCGGACCUCACGCUAUCAGAUGAGCCUAGGUCGGAUUAGCUAGUUGGUGGGGUAAAGGCCUACCAAGGCGACGAUCCGUAACUGGUCUGAGAGGAUGAUCAGUCACACUGGAACUGAGACACGGUCCAGACUCCUACGGGAGGCAGCAGUGGGGAAUAUUGGACAAUGGGCGAAAGCCUGAUCCAGCCAUGCCGCGUGUGUGAAGGAGGUCUUCGGAUUGUAAAGCACUUUAAGUUGGGAGGAAGGGCAGUAAGUUAAUACCUUGCUGUUUUGACGUUACCAACAGAAUAAGCACCGGCUAACUUCGUG